UACGUAGGGUGCAAGCGUUAAUCGGAAUUACUGGGCGUAAAGCGUGCGCAGGCGGUUUUGUAAGUCUGUCGUGAAAUCCCCGGGCUCAACCUGGGAAUUGCGAUGGAGACUGCAAGGCUAGAAUCUGGCAGAGGGGGGUAGAAUUCCACGUGUGAGCAGUGAAAUGCGUAGAGAUGUGGAGGAACACCGAUGGCGAAGGCAGCCCCCUGGGUCAAGAUUGACGCUCAUGCACGAAAGCGUGGGGAGCAAGGACAGGACUUAG
rnacentral:rRNA from 1 species